GCUGGCGUAGCUCAGUCGGUAGAGCGACGCACUCGUAAUGCGUAGGUCACCGGUUCGAGCCCGGUCGCCAGCUCCA
rnacentral:tRNA from 2 species